rnacentral:rRNA from 1 species
CCUACGGGUGGCAGCAGUGAGGAAUAUUGGUCAAUGGCCGGAAGCCUGAACCAGCCAAGUAGCGUGCAGGAAGAAGGAUCUAUGGGUUGUAAACUGCUUUUAUACGGGAAUAAAGGUAUCCACGUGUGGAUAUUUGCAUGUACCCUAUGAAUAAGCAUCGGCUAACUCCGUGCCAGCAGCCGCGGUAAUACGGAGGAUGCGAGCGUUAUCCGGAUUUAUUGGGUUUAAAGGGUGCGUAGGUUGUUUUUUAAGUCAGCGGUGAAAGUUUGUGGCUCAACCAUAGAAUUGCCGUUGAAACUGGAAGACUUGAGUGUGUUUGAGGUAGGCGGAAUGCGUGGUGUAGCGGUGAAAUGCAUAGAUAUCACGAAGAACUCCGAUUGCGAAGGCAGCUUACUAAGCCAUAACUGACACUGAAGCACGAAAGCGUGGGGAUCGAACAGGAUUAGAUACCCUUGUAGUC